AUUGAACGCUGGCGGUAUGCUUAACACAUGCAAGUCGAACGGCAGCACAGUAUGUAGCAAUACAUAUGGGUGGCGAGUGGCGGACGGGUGAGUAACGCGUAGGAAUCUACCCUAAAGCGGGGGACAACCCGAGGAAACUCGGGCUAAUACCGCAUAAUCUCGAAAGAGUAAAGCUGGGGCAACCUGGCACUUUAGGAGGAGCCUGCGUACGAUUAGCUAGUUGGUGAGGUAAAGGCUCACCAAGGCGGUGUUCGGUAGCUGGUCUGAGAGGAUGAUCAGCCAAACUGGGACUGAGACACGGCCCGGACUCCAACGGAAGAGAGCAGUGGGGAAUAUUGGACAAUGGGGGCAACCCUGAUGCAGCAAUACCGCGUGUGUGAAGAAGGCCUUAGGGUUGUAAAGCACUUUAGUUGGGGAAGAAGGAUAGUUGUUUAAGAGAUGAUUAUUUUGACGGUACCCAAAGAAUAAGCACCGGCUAACUCUGUGCCAGCCGCCGCGGUAA
rnacentral:rRNA from 1 species